rnacentral:lncRNA from 1 species
CUUUUUUCCCCACCCCUCCAGUUUUCUCCUGAGCUCUUGUCCCCUGGUCUCUUACACUCAGAGGCCCUACUAAUAAUUUUUCUUUUUUCUUCUCUUUUUUUUUUUUUUUUUUUUUGAGACAGGGUCUCACUCUGUCACCCAGGUUGGAGUACAGUGGCAUGAUUAUAACUCACUGCAGCCCCGACUUCCUGGGCUUGAGUGAUCUUCCCACCUCAGCCUCCUGAGUAGCUGGGACUAUACAUGCCUGCACCACCAUGACCAGCUAAUUUAUUUUAUUUUAUUUUAUUUUUGAGACAGGGUCUCACUUUUUCACCCAGGCUAGAGUACACUUGCACAAUCACAGCUCACUUGUAGCCUCGACCUCCUGGGCUCAAGCAAUGCUCCUACCUCAGCCUCCCAAGUAGCUGGGACUACAGGUGCAUGCCACCAUGCCUGGCUAAUUUUUCUAAAAACAGCUUCACCACAUUGCCCAGGCUUUUAAAAUUAUUAGUAGUAGUAGUAGAGACAGGGUCUCUCACUAUCGUCUCGACACCUGGGCCCAAGCAAUCCUCCCAAAGUGCUGGGAUUACAGGCAUGAGCUACCACAUCCAGCCAUUUUAAUUUUCUUGAACCUACUACUCUGUCCCCCCAGAGCCAUAUUUAACAAGUUAGCCCCUGUCUGGGUGCCUCUCCCCUCCCGUUUUUUAUGUGGCUUGUUUCUACCCUUUCUUCUGGAUCUCAGCUUACACAUCACACCCCACGAGAGCCUUUCCUGAUCCCUAGACAUGGUGAGCUCACCUGGAUGUAUGCCUAGCUGUAUGCCAUGGACUCAACUUUUCCUAAUUCCUGUACCCCUGGAAAUUCCCUGUUUGGGGUCUGCGUAUCUCAGUAGAGACAGCUGGGGCUUUGUCCUGUUCAAAUUGUUGCAGCCUGGCUGGGCACAAAGGCUCACACCUGUAAUCCCAGCCCUUUGGGAGGCCAAGGCAGGCUAAUUGCUUGAGUCCAGGAGUUCGAGACCAGGCUGGGCAACAUGGCAAAACCCAUCUCUACUAACAAUACAAAAAUUAGGCCGGGUGUGGUGGCUCAUGCCUGUAACCCCAGCACUUUGGGAGGCUGAGGCGGGCAGAUCACGUGAGGUCGGGAGUUCAAGACCAGCCUGACCAACAUGGAGAAACCCCGUCUCUACUAAAAAUACAAAAUUAGGCGGGCGUGGUAGCACGUACCUGUAAUCACAGCUACUCAGGAGGCUGAGGCAGGAGAAUCACUUGAACCUGGGAGGUAGAGGUUGCUGUGAGCCGAGACCGCGCCAUUGCACUCCAGCCUGGGCAACAAGAGCGAAACUCUGUCUCAAAAAAAAAAACAAAAGCCAGGUGUGGUGGCACACACCUGUAAUUCCAGCUACUCAGGAGACUGAGGCACGAGAAUCGCUUGAAUCCAGGAGGUGGAGGCUCCAGUGAACUGAGAUCACACCACUGGGCUCCAGCCUGGGUGACACAGAUAUUCCGUCUCAAAAAAACCCAAAAAAACAUUGCAGCCUUAGCACUUAGCAUAGGGCAUAGGUGCCCAGUGAAUACGUGCUGAGUGAACAGCUAAAUGUUGGGUUUUUAAAGAAAUCAUUGCCAAUUGGAUAGACAGAUUGUUUAUUUUUAAUGGUGUUGCUCAGACGUUUUACUGCUACAACUCACAUGACAGAUAUAAACAGCCAGGAUGCUGUUGUGGGUAUACCUGGCUGGUGUUACCCAUAGUUAGGUGCAUCUCCAUCCCUUUUUCUCUCAUGCAGAUAAUGCAAAUGUGAGAUAUGUGAAUUUUUCUUUAUUGUGUAUGUUUUUGUUUUUUUUUUUGUUUUGUUUUGUUUUUUUAGAUAGAGUCUCGCUCUGUUGCCCAGGCUGGAGUGCAGUGGCACAAUCUCAGCUCACUGCAACCUCUGCCUCCUGGGUUCAGACGAUUCUCCUGCCUCAGCCUCCCAAGUAGCUGGGAUUACAGGCACGCACCACCACGCCUGGCUAAUUUUUUGUAUUUUUAGUAGAGACAGUUUCACCAUGUUGGCUAGGCUGGUCUCGAACUCCUGACCUCAGGUGAUCCCCCCUCCCUCGGCCUCCCAAAGUUCUGGGAUUACAGGCGUGAGCCACCGCACCUGGCCUGCGUAUGUGUCUUUUAAAACUAUUUGCAAACACUGGUAUUUUAUUUUUUGUAAAAAUUAUUUGGGAUGCAUCUCACAACUGCUGACAACAUCCCACUGCCUGAAUUAAGGCAGUGGAAUUGAGAGCUUUGUGUCUGUACUCAUUAGGAGGACCAGCUGAGUAAAGAUUUGGAUUCCAAUUUGGGAUAGUGGUUGCCACUAGUGUUAAUUUUGAUACCUCUCAAAAGCCCUAUAGUCUAUCAAUUUGUCUGUUGGGAGGAGUAGGAAAUAAUAGUGGUUCACAGAGUUAAUAAGAGUUCAGGCAAACCUGGUUUAGAAUCCCAGGUGGACACGUUAGCCCUGUGACUUUGGGCAAGGCAUUUAUUAAGCCUGCAUUUCUUCAUCUGUAAAAUGGGAAUAAUGAUGAUUCUUGCCUGUGAGGGCUAUUUUGAAAGUUAAAUAAGAUAGUCUAUGUAAAUCACUUAACUCUAUUAUUUUUGGGGGGAGGUAGGUUAGAAAUUGACAUCUGGAUUGGGGUCUCCUACCUUAAAAGAGAAGAAGAGAACACAGGGAACUAGGCCCCAGUCUUUCCCUGCCAAUCUAAAAGUUUCC